GGGUUGUGAGGUUAAGCGACUAAGCGUACACGGUGGAUGCCCUGGCAGUCAGAGGCGAUGAAGGACGUGCUAAUCUGCGAAAAGCGUCGGUAAGGUGAUAUGAACCGUUAUAACCGGCGAUGUCCGAAUGGGGAAACCCAGUGUGAUUCGUCACACUAUCGUUAACUGAAUACAUAGGUUAACGAGGCGAACCGGGGGAACUGAAACAUCUAAGUACCCCGAGGAAAAGAAAUCAACCGAGAUUCCCCCAGUAGCGGCGAGCGAACGGGGAGCAGCCCAGAGUCUGAAUCAGCUUGUGUGUUAGUGGAACGGUCUGGAAAGUCCGACGGUACAGGGUGAUAGUCCCGUACACCAAAAUGCACAGGCUGUGAACUCGAAGAGUAGGGCGGGACACGUGGUAUCCUGUCUGAAUAUGGGGGGACCAUCCUCCAAGGCUAAAUACUCCUGACUGACCGAUAGUGAACCAGUACCGUGAGGGAAAGGCGAAAAGAACCCCGGCGAGGGGAGUGAAAAAGAACCUGAAACCGUGUACGUACAAGCAGUGGGAGCACCUUCGGGUGUGACUGCGUACCUUUUGUAUAAUGGGUCAGCGACUUAUAUUCUGUAGCAAGGUUAACCGUAUAGGGGAGCCGCAGGGAAACCGAGUCUUAACUGGGCGUUAAGUUGCAGGGUAUAGACCCGAAACCCGGUGAUCUAGCCAUGGGCAGGUUGAAGGUUGGGUAACACUAACUGGAGGACCGAACCGACUAAUGUUGAAAAAUUAGCGGAUGACUUGUGGCUGGGGGUGAAAGGCCAAUCAAACCGGGAGAUAGCUGGUUCUCCCCGAAAGCUAUUUAGGUAGCGCCUCGUGAACUCAUCUUCGGGGGUAGAGCACUGUUUCGGCUAGGGGGUCAUCCCGACUUACCAACCCGAUGCAAACUACGAAUACCGAAGAAUGUUAUCACGGGAGACACACGGCGGGUGCUAACGUCCGUCGUGAAGAGGGAAACAACCCAGACCGCCAGCUAAGGUCCCAAAGUCAUGGUUAAGUGGGAAACGAUGUGGGAAGGCACAGACAGCCAGGAUGUUGGCUUAGAAGCAGCCAUCAUUUAAAGAAAGCGUAAUAGCUCACUGGUCGAGUCGGCCUGCGCGGAAGAUGUAACGGGGCUAAACCAUGCACCGAAGCUGCGGCAGCGACACUAUGUGUUGUUGGGUAGGGGAGCGUUCUGUAAGCCUGCGAAGGUGUGCUGUGAGGCAUGCUGGAGGUAUCAGAAGUGCGAAUGCUGACAUAAGUAACGAUAAAGCGGGUGAAAAGCCCGCUCGCCGGAAGACCAAGGGUUCCUGUCCAACGUUAAUCGGGGCAGGGUGAGUCGACCCCUAAGGCGAGGCCGAAAGGCGUAGUCGAUGGGAAACAGGUUAAUAUUCCUGUACUUGGUGUUACUGCGAAGGGGGGACGGAGAAGGCUAUGUUAGCCGGGCGACGGUUGUCCCGGUUUAAGCAUGUAGGCUGGUUGUCCAGGCAAAUCCGGAUAAUCAAGGCUGAGGUGUGAUGACGAGGCACUACGGUGCUGAAGUAACAAAUGCCCUGCUUCCAGGAAAAGCCUCUAAGCAUCAGGUAACAUUAAAUCGUACCCCAAACCGACACAGGUGGUCAGGUAGAGAAUACCAAGGCGCUUGAGAGAACUCGGGUGAAGGAACUAGGCAAAAUGGUGCCGUAACUUCGGGAGAAGGCACGCUGGUGUGUAGGUGAAGUCCCUGCGGAUGGAGCUGAGACCAGUCGAAGAUACCAGCUGGCUGCAACUGUUUAUUAAAAACACAGCACUGUGCAAACACGAAAGUGGACGUAUACGGUGUGACGCCUGCCCGGUGCCGGAAGGUUAAUUGAUGGGGUUAUCCGUAAGGAGAAGCUCUUGAUCGAAGCCCCGGUAAACGGCGGCCGUAACUAUAACGGUCCUAAGGUAGCGAAAUUCCUUGUCGGGUAAGUUCCGACCUGCACGAAUGGCGUAAUGAUGGCCAGGCUGUCUCCACCCGAGACUCAGUGAAAUUGAACUCGCUGUGAAGAUGCAGUGUACCCGCGGCAAGACGGAAAGACCCCGUGAACCUUUACUAUAGCUUGACACUGAACAUUGAGCCUUGAUGUGUAGGAUAGGUGGGAGGCUUUGAAGCGUGGACGCCAGUCUGCGUGGAGCCAACCUUGAAAUACCACCCUUUAAUGUUUGAUGUUCUAACGUUGGCCCCUUACCGGGGUUGCGGACAGUGUCUGGUGGGUAGUUUGACUGGGGCGGUCUCCUCCCAAAGCGUAACGGAGGAGCACGAAGGUUAGCUAAUCCUGGUCGGACAUCAGGAGGUUAGUGCAAUGGCAUAAGCUAGCUUGACUGCGAGCGUGACGGCGCGAGCAGGUGCGAAAGCAGGUCAUAGUGAUCCGGUGGUUCUGAAUGGAAGGGCCAUCGCUCAACGGAUAAAAGGUACUCCGGGGAUAACAGGCUGAUACCGCCCAAGAGUUCAUAUCGACGGCGGUGUUUGGCACCUCGAUGUCGGCUCAUCACAUCCUGGGGCUGAAGUAGGUCCCAAGGGUAUGGCUGUUCGCCAUUUAAAGUGGUACGCGAGCUGGGUUUAGAACGUCGUGAGACAGUUCGGUCCCUAUCUGCCGUGGGCGCUGGAGAAUUGAGGGGGGCUGCUCCUAGUACGAGAGGACCGGAGUGGACGCAUCACUGGUGUUCGGGUUGUCAUGCCAAUGGCACUGCCCGGUAGCUAAAUGCGGAAGAGAUAAGUGCUGAAAGCAUCUAAGCACGAAACUUGCCCCGAGAUGAGUUCUCCCUGAGACUUUAAGUCUCCUGAAGGAACGUUGAAGACGACGACGUUGAUAGGCCGGGUGUGUAAGCGCAGCGAUGCGUUGAGCUAACCGGUACUAAUGAACCGUGAGGCUUAACCUUACAACGCCGAAG
rnacentral:rRNA from 1 species